GUCCAUUACACUGCCAUCAGCUAUAACAAUCCCCGCAAAUACCUCAGCAGUGCUGGAGAAAGAGCGAUGGUGGAAUUUAAUAUUGUAGAAGGAAGGAAAGAAGGGACCACAGGCGGCUAAUGUCACUGUCACCGUCCAGGACAAUCUGAAAACAACGAAAGUUGUCUCCAAGACUCCUGAUUAGGAGAUGAUUAAGCUGAAAGAGCAGGAAGCACAUCUGAGGAAGGAACUGGAAGGUGCGAAAGAUUACUUCCAGGAAGAGUUGGCAGCUCUGAAUGACGAUUACAACAAAGACCUGAAAGCCAC